rnacentral:rRNA from 1 species
AGUGAACGCUGGCGGUAGGCCUAACACAUGCAAGUCGAACGGCAGCACAGUAAGAGCUUGCUCUUACGGGUGGCGAGUGGCGGACGGGUGAGGAAUACAUCGGACUCUACUUUUUCGUGGGGGAUAACGUAGGGAAACCUACGCUAAUAUCGCAUACGAUCUACGGGUGAAAGCAGGGGAUCUUCGGACCUUGCGCGAUUGAAUGAGCCGAUGUCGGAUUAGCUAGUUGGCGGGGUAAAGGCCCACCAAGGCGGCGAUCCGUAGCUGGUCUGAGAGGAUGAUCAGCCACACUGGAACGGAGACACGGUCCAGGCUCCUACGAGAGGCAGCAGUGGGGAAUAUUGGACAAUAGGCGCAAGCCUGAUCCAGCCAUACCACGUGGGUGGAGAAAGCCUUCGGGUUGUAAAGCCCUUUUGUUGGGAAAGAAAAGCAGCAGGUUAAUACCCCGCUGUUCUGACGGUACCCAAAGAAUAAGCACCGGCUAACUUCGUG